rnacentral:rRNA from 1 species
GAGCGCAGCUACCAUGCAGUCGAGGGGUACAGGAAUAGCUUGCUAUUCGCUGACGACCGGCGCACGGGUGCGUAACGCGUAUGCAACCUACCUUUUACAGGGGAAUAGCCUUUAGAAAUGAAGAUUAAUACCCCAUAAUAUAGUUUAUCAGCAUUGAUUUAUUAUUAAAGUUUCGGCGGUUAAAGAUGGGCAUGCGUUUUAUUAGUUAGUUGGUAAGGUAACGGCUUACCAAGACUACGAUAAAUAGGGGUCCUGAGAGGGAGAUCCCCCACACUGGUACUGAGACACGGACCACACUCCUACGGGAGGCUCAGUGAGGAAUAUUGCACAAUGGGCUAUAGCCUGAA